CACAUUGAAGUCAGAGAAGUCCAGAAGUAGUCAGAGAAAAUAUAUCAUGUAGCAGAGAAGAGCAACUGGGCCAAAUCCUUUUGACAUACAUAUGACUUGCUCCACUUAUAUCCUGGCAAAAAUUCCCUUCCUGAAAGCAGUGAUCUCAUGGCUUCUUAUUGGAGGUAUUUGAAGACUGUUUAAACCAAUGUGGAAAUAAAAAGACAUUGUUGUACAUUAGCUGAGUGAAGAUGCAGAAGAAAGUGAACAGAGGAUUUGGGACCAGAAAAAGUUCUUUUUCUGUUGCUGGAGAUUCUACCACAACAGUGAGUGAAGAUAUGGGAGAUCACCAAAAAGCCCUGCAGCAACAAGGAUAACAGCAAAGAGGAGAAGUAAACAUUGUUCAUAAAGACAUACAAGAAAGUUUAAUUGACAAACUGCAUGUCAGAUAUAUAUAGGAAUGCUGUAUACAUUUUUUCUAUGUAUUCCUGAUUUUCUAUAAGAACCAAGGAAAAUAUGCUAGAGUGAGGCUGGAUGUUUCUAGAAGUUAUGUCAGCCAUUGUCAUUCUUUUCCAGUUGUUAUAACUGUUCUCUUCUAAACCAAAAGGUGGAUAUUAAAUGUCCCAUAUUUUUCCUUUGGGAAAAAGGACUUUAAAAUGGGCAUGGUCUAUGAGAGAGGCUCACAUUCUGUCCUGGGAAGACGUUGAGUCUGAAAUGGAACUCAGUGGUUUGUUUCUUGCUUUGCUUGUGUGUUUUAUUUUCAUACAGCAGUGGAAAAAAAAUCUGUAUCACAGGACCCUCAGUUCUAGCAGGGUGACAUGUGUAUUACACUUUUCUUUCAUUAAAAAAAAAAAAAAAGGAAGAAAAAAAAUAUUUUAUUUUAAAUACCCAAAAAUUAUCACAGUUAGAUUAAAGAAAUAUCCUUUCCUUAUGUGUUUCUUAUACUCAUCACAUAACAAAAUUAACACAUCUCAAAUUUACCUUAUUGUCUACAUAUCACAUUUUCAUUUAAAUUUUACUUUAUUAAUUGGCCAUGAAAAAAAUUGUAAAUGUCAUGCAGGAAGUAACAUAAAUAACUUAAGCUGGAAAAGCAGAUUUUGAAAACUUUAGAAAAUUCACAAUUUAUAAAAACAUCAGCCACUUUCAGCCAUCAAGGGAGACAUAAAUUAUAAUUUUGUUUGCCAUGUGCAAUUGAUAAUGAAUAUGUGUAGAUCCUGAUUCACAAGGAUUUUUGUAACUGCUCAGCAAUAUAUUUGCUUCAUUCCUUAUGUCCCUAUAAACAGAAAAUGUAAUUGAGGGCUCUAGUUGUAUUUAAAGCUAUGUCCUUUCUAAGAGGGGGCUGUUAAAUCUCUUGAUUUCUUUUUUAACCUAGGGCCAUACAAAAAGUGAAAAAUAUUAAAGAUUAUUAAUUAUACAGGAAUCACAUUUUUCCCAGGAAUUCUCUGAGUUGCAGAUGCUUGGAAGCUGGGAACAAAAUGUUCUUAUCACCCUCUCUGAGCUUUAGGUUGCUGCUGGAGAUGGGAUGCUAGAGCAGAAGUCGCUGUGUUUUGACUACCUUUAUACAUUCUUAACCCUCUUUCAUGCUUGUAAUGCUGAACUAAUUUCAGCCACUACCCUUCAGUAUGUGCUAAGGAUACAAUGAGGGAAUUCUGUCUUUUUUGCCAGUAGCUGAUUCACAAGUUGAUCAAGAAGGUGCAGAGAUACUGUGAGACAAUUUAUUUUUAAAUGGAGUUUUUAAACAUGUAACACUUACAAGAAUUGAUAAUAAAAUAAGAUUUAUAAUUCUUUUUUUCAUAAUUCAAACUUCCUCCCUUUAUUAGCUCACUGGUUCAAGGUUUUAUAUUAGAAAAAGAUCUCUGGUAUUAUUCCAUGCAUUGUGAAACGGCAUGCUGACUUUCUGUAAAACUCCAUCUGCUUUUCUUAUGCCAGCAUCUUCACAAUGCCACAGUGUAUGAAAUGGCUGCAUUGAAAAUGUUGAUGUGAACAACAGAAAUGGAAAGUGCAUAAUUAUUGAUUUUAAAGUGCUCUCACAGCCAAAUGUACUUCUUUGGUUACACUGAAGUACUUGAAAGUAUGGCAAUACAACAGUGUACUGAUAAAAGCUUGUCUCAUUUAGAUAAGCUUUAGAGAUAAGAUCUUUCUCUUUUUUCCCUCUGACAAGCCAUUAGAAAUAUAGCUCUUUUAAGGAUGAAGUAUGGUUUCAGCACUGGCCAAAAUACCUAUAAGCUCCAGACUACCUUUUCAGCCCACAGUAAUGACUGUGCCUAAAAAUCAAGUCAAACAAUGUUAGGAAUCACUGGGGAAACUGGGAUUCUAUCUUUCCUCUAUCUAUUCCUAAAUCUGUAGAAAAAGCAAAUGACGCUUAAUUGGUGCUUUAGAUAAUUUCUGUGCUAACAGCUUGGUAGUGUAACAUGGAUAUUAAUGAAAAUCAAACCAGAAACUAGUUUCUGCUGCUCUUUCUAAUUCUACCAUAAACUCUUUCAUAUGUGUUCACUGUAUUAUACUACCCAGCAGGUGGGAUGCAUCUGGCUGUUCUAAAAGUCAUGGUGACAAUAAAAUAUCAUCACAUGAUGCUAGUUUUAAAAUUUAAAUUUCAGAAUGUCAGUACAGUAUCUUUUCUUUCUCAUGAGGAAAUUUUAGUUUCUUUUGGGGUAGUUAAAAUGGACAUUUAUCCCACACAUAUCUUUCCGAUCACUUAUUGAUAGUAUUUUGCUUUCAGGCACCUUCUGAAUAGCACUUUUAAAGUUUUCUUUCUUGCCUCUUAUAGAUCACACAAGAUGCCUUCAUUUUUCAUUAUUUGUCCCUAUUGACUGAGACAGAGAAAACUCAGCUACUUCCAUUAUCUAAACAAAUUAUUUAUUUCAUCUUUACAUACACAAAGAACUUCAGAGGCCUCUCUGAAGAAGUAAACCUGUAAAUUAGUCACUUGAAAGUGAGUCAAAAUAAGGUGAUGGAUGAUUAUUGUGGCUGCAGUUCAGAAUGUUUGAGAAUGCUAAUUUAUGACCUUUCCAUAAUAAUACUAGAAUAAUUCCUGAUCUUAAAUAUACACCUAUGAUAUAUGCUAUAUACCAAUGUUCCCACACAUUCCUCUUCACAUUUUACACAUGGAAAGAGAAGAUUUACAGAUUUGUGCAGGACUGAUUUUCUCAAAGUCACCAAGACUAAUUAGGGGAAAGCCAUGAAAACUAACCUUAAAUCUGGUUGCAAAUAACUGAGCUGUUCAUCUUUGGAGAUGAGUGGUGCCUAAAAGAGUGGAAAAAAAUAGUCUUUCCUAAUUUCCUUUUUAAGGUAAUAAAUAGUAUUAAUCUUUUAUGUGGAUCAGUUUUGCAAACUGAUUGUAAACAGUGAUAGAAAGACAUGGAAAUAAUUUUCACAAUGCUGAAUUAAAUCUUGUUUAAUACCA